rnacentral:rRNA from 1 species
UGGGGAAUAUUGCACAAUGGGCGAAAGCCUGAUGCAGCAACGCCGCGUGAGUGAUGAAGGCCUUCGGGUUGUAAAGCUCUGUCUUUUGGGACGAUAAUGACGGUACCAAAGGAGGAAGCCACGGCUAACUACGUGCCAGCAGCCGCGGUAAUACGUAGGUGGCAAGCGUUGUCCGGAUUUACUGGGCGUAAAGGAUGCGUAGGCGGAUUUUUAAGUGAGAUGUGAAAAACCCUAAGCUUAACUUGGGGACUGCAUUUCAAUACUGGGAAAUCUAGAGUGCGGGAGAGGAGAAAUGGAAUUCCUAGUGUAGCGGUGAAAUGCGUAAGAGAUUAGGAAGAACACCAGUGGCGAAGGCGAUUCUCUGGACCGUAACUGACGCUGAGGCAUGAAAAGCGUGGGUAGCAAACAGGGAUUAGAUACCCUGGUAGUCCACGCCGUAAACGAUGAGUACUAGGUGUAGGAGGUAUCGACCCCUUCUGUGCCGCAGUUAACACAAUAAGUACUCCGCCUGGGAAGUACGAUCGCAAGAUUAAAAACUC